ACGGGUGAGUAAAGCGUAGGAAUUUGCCUUUCAGAGAGGGAUAACACGGGGAAACUCGUGCUAAUACCGCAUAAAGUCGCGAGACCAAAGUGGGGGAUCUUCGGACCUCACGCUGAGAGAGAAGCUUACGUCAGAUUAGCUAGUUGGUGGGGUAAAGGCCUACCAAGGCAAUGAUCUGUAGCUGGUCUGAGAGGACGAUCAGCCACACUGGGACUGAGACACGGCCCAGACUCCUACGGGAGGCAGCAGUGGGGAAUUUUGGACAAUGGGGGCAACCCUGAUCCAGCAAUGCCGCGUGUGUGAAGAAGGCCUGAGGGUUGUAAAGCACUUUAGGUGGGGAGGAAGGCGUAUAGUUUAAUAAACUAUACGAUUGACGUUACCCACAGAAUAAGCACCGGCUAACUCUGUGCCAGCAGCCGCGGUAAUACAGAGGGUGCGAGCGUUAAUCGGAAUUAUUGGGCGUAAAGCGCAUGUAGGUGGUUUUUUAAGUCUGAUGUGAAAGCCCUGGGCUCAACCUGGGAAUUGCGUUGGAAACUGAGAAGCUAGAGUCGGACAGAGGGCCGUGGAAUUUCCGGUGUA
rnacentral:rRNA from 1 species